UACGUAGGGAGCAAGCGUUGUUCGGAUUUACUGGGCGUAAAGGGCGCGUAGGCGGCAUAUUAAGUCAUCUGUGAAAUCUCCGAGCUUAACUCGGAACUGUCAGCUGAUACUGAUGUGCUAGAGUGCGGAAGGGGCAAUCGGAAUUCCUGGUGUAGCGGUGAAAUGCGCAGAUAUCAGGAGGAACACCGGUGGCGAAGGCGGGUCUCUGGGCCGAUAUUGACGCUGAGGAGCGAAAGCGUGGGGAGCGAACAGG
rnacentral:rRNA from 1 species